CACGUAGGGUCCGAGCGUUGUCCGGAAUUAUUGGGCGUAAAGAGCUCGUAGGCGGUUUGUCGCGUCUGCUGUGAAAACUCGGGGCUUAACUCCGGGCCUGCAGUGGGUACGGGCAGACUAGAGUGCGGUAGGGGAGACUGGAAUUCCUGGUGUAGCGGUGAAAUGCGCAGAUAUCAGGAGGAACACCGGUGGCGAAGGCGGGUCUCUGGGCCGUAACUGACGCUGAGGAGCGAAAGCGUGGGGAGCGAACAGG
rnacentral:rRNA from 1 species